UACGAAGGGGGCUAGCGUUGCUCGGAAUUACUGGGCGUAAAGCGCACGUAGGCGGCUUUUUAAGUCGGAGGUGAAAUCCUGGAGCUCAACUCCAGAACUGCCUUCGAUACUGGAGAGCUUGAGUCCGGGAGAGGUGAGUGGAACUGCGAGUGUAGAGGUGAAAUUCGUAGAUAUUCGCAAGAACACCAGUGGCGAAGGCGGCUCACUGGCCCGGUACUGACGCUGAGGUGCGAAAGCGUGGGGAGCAAACAGG
rnacentral:rRNA from 1 species